GAAAUGCGUUAAUUUUCUGAAUUGUUUCCAAUCUCAUGAUAUAAUAUUGUUGAAAUUGGAAGCAAUUACAACCGAUUAACGAGGCAGUUACGAAGAAUCUCUCUACGUUUAAACAGAAGGAUUAAUGAAAUGAAGAAAGUUGCUGUAUCUUUAUUGGGAAUAAUUUCCCUUUUUGGAAAUGUUUGUUAUAUACAUGCAAAUGAUUUAAACCCUUCUGGUCAUUACAUGAGAGUCAUUUCUGAAACAAAGGAAUUUAAUUCAUCUAUAUGUGAAUCUUGCAAAACAAUAAAUAUUUUUAUAAAAAACGCAUAUAUGUUUCUAAUGGACAUACUAAAUAAUCAAGAU